rnacentral:rRNA from 1 species
UGGGGAAUAUUGCACAAUGGGCGCAAGCCUGAUGCAGCCAUGCCGCGUGUAUGAAGAAGGCCUUCGGGUUGUAAAGUACUUUCAGUCGGGAGGAAGGUGGUAAGGUUAAUAACCUUAUCAAUUGACGUUACCGACAGAAGAAGCACCGGCUAACUCCGUGCCAGCAGCCGCGGUAAUACGGAGGGUGCAAGCGUUAAUCGGAAUUACUGGGCGUAAAGCGCACGCAGGCGGUUGAUUGAGUCAGAUGUGAAAUCCCCGGGCUUAACCCGGGAAUUGCAUCUGAGACUGGUCAGCUAGAGUCUUGUAGAGGGGGGUAGAAUUCCAUGUGUAGCGGUGAGAUGCGUAGAGAUGUGGAGGAAUACCGGUGGCGAAGGCGGCCCCCUGGACAAAGACUGACGCUCAGGUGCGAAAGCGUGGGGAGCAAACAGG